AACGAACGCUGGCGGCAUGCCUAACAUAUGCAAGUCGAACGAGACCUUCGGGUCUAGUGGCGCACGGGUGCGUAACGCGUGGGAACCUGCCCUUAGGUUCGGAAUAACUCUCCGAAAGGGGUGCUAAUACCGGAUAAUGUCUUCGGACCAAAGAUUUAUCGCCUUUGGAUGGGCCCGCGUUGGAUUAGCUAGUUGGUAGGGUAAAAGCCUACCAAGGCGACGAUCCAUAGCUGGUCUGAGAGGAUGAUCAGCCACACUGGGACUGAGACACGGCCCAGACUCCUACGGGAGGCAGCAGUGGGGAAUAUUGGACAAUGGGCGAAAGCCUGAUCCAGCAAUGCCGCGUGAGUGAUGAAGGCCUUAGGGUUGUAAAGCUCUUUUACCCGGGAUGAUAAUGACAGUACCGGGAGAAUAAGCUCCGGCUAACUCCGUG
rnacentral:rRNA from 1 species